AUUCAGCUCCUGAGCUCGAGCUCAGUGCGUGCUGCUGAAGUUCAGUAGUGAAAGGUUUCCUGAACGUUACAGAGGGAACUUCCCCAGCGGUCCGAAACGGAUGAAUGGAGCUGCUCUGCUCUCAAAGCCCGAGCACUUCUGGCAUAGGUGGGUUUCUAGCAAACUGAAAACCAAUGCUGAAGCCCCAAACCGCUGUCUAAAAAGAAGCCAGCUUGCUAGGUUUUAAACCAACUCCGUUCAUUGCGUUCCGUCGCUCUGGGGAAGUUCAACGUUUAGGAAACCUCUCGAGACGCAUUCGGGGGACUGGGUGGGUGUUUACUGCAAAAUCGUUCUAGGAGGUCAAGAAACCUUGCUAUGAAUUUAAACGCGAUUUCUAAAGGAAAACAAGAAUGGAUCAAUAACAGUAACGUCAUGCACUGAGAUAAAUAGCGUGGAAACCCAUGUGCACGGUGCGCGCUUUUGUUCAACCCAGAAGCGUCGGGCGGGGGAGGGACGCCUCGUGCAUCCUCCGUGUGCACGAGACUUCAGUGAGAAACAAGCGAGACAGACCUGCAAUUGGAUCCUACACAAGUCAAUCCCACAUGUGGGUGGGCGGUGGAUUCAGAGCUGCACACCCAGUAAAGUUUGUGCAACAAAAGGUUGCGGGAAAGUUGCGCACGAACACGAUUCACACUUACACCUGAACUCUACAUGCGCUAAAAGCGAUCAAGCAAGCUGCCUUUAACACACGAUUGAGCUCAGUUUCAUUCAAGCCACAAUGAUGUCAUACUUGUGGAUUUUCGUCCUUGGAAGUUUAAUCGUGACUGGAGUGAAGAUGCAAGACGAUGGAGUGGAAGGCGCAGACAAUGCCGAUUCUCCGGCAGAUGAGCUCGCUCCAGAGGACUCAACCGUUCCUGCUGAAGCUGCAGACGCUGAAGAACCAGCUUAUGA